rnacentral:tRNA from 1 species
CCUCGGGCUGGCCCAGCCGGCCCAUCGCCUGGCGCGCGACGAACGCGGCCCUGGCGGUCGCCACGUCGCCUGUGGCC